ACCCACGACACCCGGAGCAUUACAGAUUGCCUCUAGAUUAUGUAGUAUUUUUUUAUUUCAGCCCAAGCAGCAGAUGUGUCAGUCCUGGAGACCAGAGUGACAGACAGUAAGAGUCAGGUGGAAGAAGUGAAGAAAGAGAAUGCAGCCUUGGAGGCCAAACUGAGUUCCAGUGAGAGCCAGUUAGAGGAGAUGAAGAAAGACAAUUCUGCCCAAGCAGCAGAACUGUCAGCCUUGGGGACUAGAGUUACAGCCAGUGAGACUCAGGUUGUGGAUUUGAAGAAAGAGAAGGCAGGUAAAAACGAAAGAGGACUACUGUGAAUAUACACGUCAUCAAAAGAAUGCUUGUCUCAACUCAGUA